rnacentral:lncRNA from 1 species
UCUCCCGCUUCCCCGCAAGGUAUCUCAGCGUGGGCUGGCGUGUGUGCAGAGCGAUCCGGGGGGUCGCGGCGUCGGCAGGGCAGAUCAAAGGCUCCGAUUUCCGCUCUGGAGCUGGGGACGCUGGCCAGGAACCGCAGGCACCUUCCGGGCCGGGAGUUCAAGAAGUUGGCCCCGUGAGCAUUAACCUCUUCCACCCUCUGGUCUGCACCUGCCUGAGCCCAGGUGCCUAAAGCUGACAAGACCAUCUUCUCCACUAGAAUGAGAGAAGAGGCUAUUUCUCUCAGCUUUGUACAUCA